UGGCGACGAUGCGUAGGGGUUCUGAGAGGAAGGUCCCCCACACUGGUACUGAGACACGGACCAGACUCCUACGGGAGGCAGCAGUGAGGAAUAUUGGUCAAUGGGAGAGAUCCUGAACCAGCCAAGCCGCGUGAGGGAAGACGGCCCUAUGGGUUGUAAACCUCUUUUGUCGGAGAACAAAACCCGGGACGUGUCCCGGACUGCGUGUAUCCGAAGAAAAAGCAUCGGCUAACUCCGUGCCAGCAGCCGCGGUAAUACGGAGGAUGCGAGCGUUAUCCGGAUUUAUUGGGUUUAAAGGGUGCGUAGGCGGUCCGUUAAGUCAGCGGUAAAAUUGCGGGGCUCAACCCCGUCGAGCCGUUGAAACUGGCAGACUUGAGUUGGCGAGAAGUACGCGGAAUGCGCGGUGUAGCGGUGAAAUGCAUAGAUAUCGCGCAGAACUCCGAUUGCGAAGGCAGCGUACCGGCGCCAGACUGACGCUGAGGCACGAAAGCGUGGGGAUCGAACAGGAUUAGAUACCCUGGUAGUCCACGCAGUAAACGAUGAAUGCUGGUUGUCCGGGUCGAAUGAGAUCUGGGCGGC
rnacentral:rRNA from 1 species